UAGGAGGCAGCCGAACCAGUUGAGGCCUCAGGGCCAAGAAAUCUGAGAAGCAGAAAAAACCCUAAGGUGCCACAUUUGGUUUCUUCCCCUCAGGGUCUUUGUCUGCCACACCACAGGUCUCUGAGAACCAAAUGAGGUUGCGAGCAGUCUGUUGCUGUUGUGCUGGCAGGGGACAGAUGGUGCUGGCUAUCAAACCCAGGACCUCACACAUGCUAUUUAAGGUGACAUCAGUGGACAGGCUCAAGAAUCUUGUCCUACUAAGCAAAAUAUGUAAAGAAAAUCACACCAUCGUCUAUCCAAACUGGGACAAGAUCAGCAAGACGAUAAAAUCAAGAAAAAAUUACAAUACUGAAAAAAUUACAAAAUAAAAAUAGAAAAGAGGAUGCCAUGUAGAAUCC
rnacentral:lncRNA from 1 species